UUGUAAAACUGGGCAGCAGUGAUGUAUACAGUUUUUGAAUGCUGAACUUAUUCAAUUUGCAAACACUUUGCAAUCGAACAGUGAUAUCACCCUGCAAUUGAGGACACUCCAAAAUGAAUUUCCUGCAAUCCAUUAUUUUCCUGAUGAUCCAAGAUGCUGUACUUGGAAUACUGGCAGAAGAUAAAGUGCUUCUCUUGAUGUAGUAAGCAUGAACCCAUCGCAUCCAUAACCAGUCUUUUUUCUUGCCAAAUCACACAAUAACUUUGAUAUGGCAGCCUUGUCCACAUAGUUAAAUCUAGCAUGUUAAGUCCACCAGCAGACACUGGACUGCAAACUUUGUCCCCAGCCACCAAAGCUCUUCUUGAAAUACUUGCCUUUCC
rnacentral:lncRNA from 1 species